rnacentral:rRNA from 1 species
AUUGAACGCUGGCGGCAGGCCUAACACAUGCAAGUCGAACGGAUCCUUCGGGAUUAGUGGCGGACGGGUGAGUAACGCGUGGGAACAUACCCUUUGGUACGGAAUAGCCUCGGGAAACUGGGAGUAAUACCGUAUGUGGUCGAGAGACGAAAGAUUUAUCGCCAAAGGAUUGGCCCGCGUUGGAUUAGGUAGUUGGUGGGGUAAUGGCCUACCAAGCCGACGAUCCAUAGCUGGUUUGAGAGGAUGAUCAGCACACUGGGACUGAGACACGGCCCAGACUCCUACGGGAGGCAGCAGUGGGGAAUCUUAGACAAUGGGGGAAACCCUGAUCUAGCCAUGCCGCGUGAUCGAUGAAGGCCUUAGGGUUGUAAAGAUCUUUCAGGUGGGAAGAUAAUGACUGUACCACCAGAAGAAGCCCCGGCUAACUCCGUGCCAGCCGCCGCAGUAA